AUGAACGCUGGCGGCGUGCCUAAUACAUGCAAGUCGAGCGAACAGACGAGGAGCUUGCUCCUCUGACGUUAGCGGCGGACGGGUGAGUAACACGUGGAUAACCUACCUAUAAGACUGGGAUAACUUCGGGAAACCGGAGCUAAUACCGGAUAACAUGUUGAACCGCAUGGUUCCACAGUGAAAGACGGUUUUGCUGUCACUUAUAGAUGGAUCCGCGUCGCAUUAGCUAGUUGGUAAGGUAACGGCUUACCAAGGCAACGAUGCGUAGCCGACCUGAGAGGGUGAUCGGCCACACUGGAACUGAGACACGGUCCAGACUCCUACGGGAGGCAGCAGUAGGGAAUCUUCCGCAAUGGGCGAAAGCCUGACGGAGCAACGCCGCGUGAGUGAAGAAGGUCUUCGGAUCGUAAAACUCUGUUAUUAGGGAAGAACAAAUGUGUAAGUAACUAUGCACGUCUUGACGGUACCUAAUCAGAAAGCCACGGCUAACUACGUG
rnacentral:rRNA from 1 species